AGAAUCAACGCUGGCGGCGUGCCUAACACAUGCAAGUCGAACGAGAAAGUGGAGCAAUCCAUUAGUAAAGUGGCGCACGGGUGAGUAACACGUGACUAACCUACCCUUGAGUGGGGGAUAACCUAGAGAAAUCUGGGCUAAUACCGCAUAAUACCUUCGGGUCAAAGGAGCAAUUCGCUUUAGGAGGGGGUCGCGGCCGAUUAGUUAGUUGGCGGGGUAAUGGCCCACCAAGACUGUGAUCGGUAUCCGGCCUGAGAGGGCGCACGGACACACUGGAACUGAAACACGGUCCAGACUCCUACGGGAGGCAGCAGUGGGGAAUUUUGCGCAAUGGGGGAAACCCUGACGCAGCAACGCCGCGUGGAGGAUGAAGCCCCUUGGGGCGUAAACUCCUUUCGAUCGGGAGAUAAUGACGGUACCGAGAGAAGAAGCCCCGGCUAACUUCGCGCCAGCAGCCGC
rnacentral:rRNA from 1 species